rnacentral:rRNA from 1 species
AUUGAACGCUGGCGGCAUGCCUUACACAUGCAAGUCGAACGGCAGCAUGGAGAGCUUGCUCUCUGAUGGCGAGUGGCGAACGGGUGAGUAAUGCAUCGGAACGUACCGUGUAAUGGGGGAUAACGUAGCGAAAGUUACGCUAAUACCGCAUACGACCUGCGGGUGAAAGCAGGGGAUCGCAAGACCUUGCGUUAUGCGAGCGGCCGAUGUCAGAUUAGCUAGUUGGUGAGGUAAAGGCUCACCAAGGCGACGAUCUGUAGCGGGUCUGAGAGGAUGGUCCGCCACACGGGGACUGGGACACGGCCCAGACUCCUACGGGAGGCAGCAGUGGGGAAUUUUGGACAAUGGGGGCAACCCUGAUCCAGCCAUGCCGCGUGAGUGAAGAGGGCCUUCGGGUUGUAAAGCUCUUUCGGCCGGGAAGAAAUCGCACAGGCUAAUACUCUGUGUGGAUGACGGUACCGGCAUAAGAAGCACCGGCUAACUACGUGCCAGCCGCCGCCGUAAUAC